rnacentral:rRNA from 1 species
GAUGAACGCUGGCGGCGUGCCUAAUACAUGCAAGUCGAGCGAACGGACGAGAAGCUUGCUUCUCUGAUGUUAGCGGCGGACGGGUGUGUAACACGUGGAUAACCUACCUAUAAGACUGGGAUAAAUUCGGGAAACCGGAACUUAUACCGUAUGAUAUUUUGAACCGUGAGGUUCAAAAGUGAAAGACGGUUUUGCUGUUACUUAUAGAUGGUUCCGCGCUGCAUUAGCUUGUUGGUAAGGUAACGGCUUACCAAGGCAACGAUGCAUAGCCGACCGGGGGGGUUGUUCGCCCACACGGGAACUGAAACACGGUCCGGAUUCCUACGGGAGGCAGCAGAAGGGAACCUUCGGCAAUGGGCGAAAGCUGGACGGAGCAAGGCCGCGUGAGUGAUGAAGGUUUCCGGAUCGUAAACCUCUGUUAUUAGGGAGGAACAUAUGUGUAAGUAACUGUGCACAUCUUGACGGUACCUAAUCAGAAAGCCACGGCUAACUACGUG